rnacentral:rRNA from 1 species
ACGGGGUAGGAAUACCUCGGUGACGUACCCCCCGGUCGGGGAUAGCGGCGGGAAACUGCCGGUAAUACCCGAUGACCUUCCCGGAUCUGAAUGCCGGGAAGCAAAGGUGUGAUUCCGUCGGGGGAGCGGCUGAGGUCGUAUUAGCUAGUUGGUAAGGUCACGGCUUACCAAGGCGAUGAUGCGUAGGGGGUGUGAGAGCAUGGCCCCCACCACUGGCACUGAGACACUGGCCAGACACCUACGGGUGGCUGCAGUCGAGAAUCUUCGGCAAUGGGCGCAAGCCUGACCGAGCGACGCCGCGUGCGGGAUGAAGGUCUUCGGAUUGUAAACCGCUGUCGGAGGGGAUGAAAUGCACGGGGGUACUCCCCUGUGUUUGACAGAGCCUCGGAGGAAGCACGGGCUAAGUUCGUGCCAGCAGCCGCGGUAAUACGAACUGUGCGAACGUUAUUCGGAAUCACUGGGCUUAAAGGGUGCGUAGGCGGCGACUCAAGUCAGGUGUGAAAUCCCCCGGCUCAACCGGGGAACAGCGCUUGAAACUGGGUGGCUCGAGUGAGGCAGGGGUGUAUGGAACUUCCGGU